rnacentral:rRNA from 1 species
UACGAAGGGUGCAAGCGUUAAUCGGAAUUACUGGGCGUAAAGGGUGCGUAGGCGGUUCGUUAAGUCUGUCGUGAAAUCCCCGGGCUCAACCUGGGAAUGGCGAUGGAUACUGGCGAGCUAGAGUGUGUCAGAGGAUGGUGGAAUUCCCGGUGUAGCGGUGAAAUGCGUAGAUAUCAGGAGGAACACCGAUGGCGAAGGCAGGUCUCUGGGCCACUACUGACGCUGAAGCACGAAAGCGUGGGGAGCAAACAGG